rnacentral:misc_RNA from 1 species
AAGUCGUAACAAGGUUUCCGUAGGUGAACCUGCGGAAGGAUCAUUCAUAAUAUUCACAAAUAUUUAUUAUUUUUUAUGCCCUUUGUUUUGUAUAUAUCAAAUAUCAAAACAAUGUGCAUGGGUAAUACCCAAUUUAUGUGUACCGUAUUCAGGUUGAUGCUGUUUUUUUAAAAAAAACAACCCUCCUGAUUUAAUUUCUUAUAUUAAUCUAUAACGAAAUUUUAUUAUUAAACAAAUUAAUAUUUUAAAGUAAUUAAUUAAUUAAAAAUUAAAUAAUAACUUUCAACAAUGGAUCUCUUGGCUCUC